UUGCUGCUGAAAUGAAGGUCCGGGUGCGGGUGUAACAGACGGUGGGUCUAGAGAUGUGAGGGUUUUGUGUGACGAGGUUGUACGAGGCUGUGCUGCAUCAGGGCUUGGCCGGCGCGCUCCCUCCCUGUGCGUUCUUGGGGGCACU
ensembl:miRNA